rnacentral:rRNA from 1 species
UACGUAGGGUGCAAGCGUUGUCCGGAAUUAUUGGGCGUAAAGAGCUCGUAGGCGGUCUGUCGCGUCGGAUGUGAAAAUCCAGGGCUCAACCCUGGACCUGCAUUCGAUACGGGCAGACUAGAGUUCGGCAGGGGAGACUGGAAUCCUGGUGUAGCGGUGAAAUGCGCAGAUAUCAGGAGGAACACCGGUGGCGAAGGCGGGUCUCUGGGCCGAGUGACUGACGCUGGAGGAGCGAAAGCGUGGGGAGCGAACAGG